rnacentral:lncRNA from 1 species
CUUGGAUCUGGAUGGUUGAAGGAGAAGAACCAACAACUCCGGCCAUGUCCUCAAUCCUGUCAGAUGGGAAUGACCGGAGCUUCCUCCCUGAUGGCAGGCAGGGCUGCAUAAGGUGAACCCAUGGAAACCACCCAGCAGGCCUGGAAGAGGAGAUGAGCAGGUGAUGGAACUGGACCUCCACAUCUGGGCCUAGUUGUUGGCCUUCUCUUCUGCUUUGGGGUCCUGCCUUCAGCGAUGAGACUUUCAAAGACGACAUUGUUUCCUGGACAGUAAUGGUUUUCACAGUUCUUUGAUUUCCUUGAACACCCGAAGAAGCAGGAGACCUUGUAAUUCCAUGUGUCUCAUCAUUUCUGCAGACAUACCUGGAGAGCCGAGCUUUCCCACUGAGCUCUAGACUUAGCUUUUAAUUUUUCAAGCUAUUUGAAAGUCUAAAUAAACUUCCCCUCUGUGAGCGUCUCUUUCAUCAACUUCCACGACUCACUUCUUAACACGAAGAUGCUAAUAUUCGAAAAUGAUUAUACGAAUGAGUGAACGAAUUCGCUUUGCUUUUGGCUCCGGCACUGUAUUUGAUGUGAAAGCAACUGCAUCCAAUUCUUUUUCCACCUCAGUUGUGAAAUUAAGGGAAAGAGCGAGAUUUGCUGGCUAAUAAUGGCACUUGUCACUGAUGAAGAACCCACU